GGAGGAUUCGCCUAGUGGCCUAGGGCGCACGCUUGGAAAGCGUGUUGGGUGCAAGCCCUCAGGGGUUCGAAUCCCCUAUCCUCCG
rnacentral:tRNA from 4 species